rnacentral:rRNA from 1 species
UCCCGUUGAUCCUGCGGGAGAUUGCUGCUAUUAGGAUUCGACUUAGCCAUGCAAGUUCUGGGGUUCUUGGAACACCGGCACACUGCUCAGUAACACGUCGAUAAUCUAACCUUAGAUCUGGAAUAACCUUGGGAAACUGAGGCUAAAACCGGAUAGGAGAAAGAGUCUGGAAUGAACUUUCUUUCAAACGCAAGGUCUAAGGAUGAGACGGCGGCGGAUUAGGUUGUUGGUGAGGUAAUGGCUCACCAAGCCCAAGAUCCGUAGGGGCUCUGAGAGGAGUAGCCCCGAGAAGGGCACUGAGAUACUGGCCCUAGCCCUAAGGGGUGCAGCAGGCGCGGAACCUUUCCAAUGCGCGAAAGCGUGAGAAGGGAAUCCUAAGUGCCAAUACUUUGUAUUGGCUUUUGCCAUAUGUAAAUAGUAUGGCGAAUAAGUGGUGGGCAAGACUGGUGCCAGCCGCCGCGGUAACACCAGCGCCACAAGUGGCAAUCGCGUUUAUUGGGCCUAAAGCGUCCGUAGCCGGUUUGUUAAAUCUUCUGUGAAAUCGUUCAGCUUAACUGAACGGCGUGCAGAAGAAACUGGCAAACUUGGGACCAGGAGGGGUUAGGAGUAUUCCAGGGGGAGCGGUAAAAUGCUAUAAUCCUUGGAGGACUACCAGUGGCGAAGGCGCCUAACCAGAAUGGAUUCGACGGUGAGGGACGAAAGCCAGGGUAGCAAUCCGGAUUAGAUACCCGAGUAGUCCUGGCUGUAAACUCUGCGAGCUAGGUGUUGCAUAUUCUACAUGGAUAUGCAGUGUCGUAGCGAAGGUGUUAAGCUCGCCGCCUGGGAAGUAUGGUCGCAAGACUGAAACUUAAAGGAAUUGGCGGGGGAGCACCACAAGGGGUGCGGCGUGCGGUUUAAUUGAAUUCAACGCCGGAAAUCUUACCAGAGGCGACGGCAGGAUGAAGGUCAGGCUGAAGACCUUACUUGACAAGCCGAGAGGAGGUGCAUGGCCGCCGUCAGCUCGUUCCGUAAGGUGUCCUGUUAAGUCAGGCAACGAGCGAGACCUGUACCCACAAUUGCUAACGACUCUUUGCGAGGAUCGAGCACAAUGUGGGAACUGCCUUGGAAACAAGGAGGAAGGUGCAGGCUACGGUAGGUCUGUAUGCCCCGAAUCCUCUGGGCUACACGCGCGCAACAACGGUAUGGACAAAGGGACACAACUCCGAAAGGAGAAGUUAACCCUCUAAACCCUAUCUUAGUUCAGAUUGAGGGCUGUAACCUGCCCUCAUGACGCUGGAAUCCCUAGUAAUCGGACGUCAUCAUCGUCCGGUGAAUAUGUCCCUGCUCCUUGCACACACCGCCCGUCAAACCACUCGAGCAGUGCUUAGAUGAGACUUAGUUUUAUUGAUUAAGUCGAAUCUAAGCUCAGUGAGAUGGGUUAAGUCGUCACAAGGUA